rfam:Procavia capensis cont1.145253, whole genome shotgun sequence.
CAAAAUCUCUUUUUCCAGUGGAGAGUGUUGGCCAGGAGCAAUUCUAGGGUCUUUAGAUGCUUUAGCCCAGGCUAAU